CCUACGGGAGGCAGCAGUAGGGAAUAUUGCUCAAUGGGGGAAACCCUGAAGCAGCCACGUCGCGUGGAGGAUGAAGGUUUUCGGAUUGUAAAACCCCUUUGUUAGAGAAGAUAAUGACGGUAUCUAACGAAUAAGCACCGGCUAACGACGUGCCAGCAGCCGCGGUAAUACGGAGGGUGCAAGCGUUACUCGGAAUCACUGGGCGGAAAGAGCGCGUAGGCGGGAUAGCAAGUCAGAUGUGAAAUCGUUUGGCUUAACCAUAGAACUGCAUUUGAAACUGUGAUUCUAGAGUAUGGGAGAGGUAGGUGGAAUUCUUGGUGUAGGGGUAAAAUCCGUAGAUAUCAAGAGGAAUACUCAUUGCGAAGGCGACCUGCUAGAACAUAACUGACGCUGAUGCGCGAAAGCGUGGGGAGCAAACAGGAUUAGAUACCCCAGUAGUC
rnacentral:rRNA from 1 species